rnacentral:rRNA from 1 species
GAUGAACGCUGGCGGCGUGCCUAAUACAUGCAAGUCGAGCGAACGGAUAAGGAGCUUGCUCCUUUGACGUUAGCGGCGGGCGGGUGAGUAACACGUGGAUAACCUACCUAUAAGACUGGGAUAACUUCGGGAAACCGGAGCUAAUACCGGAUAACAUAUUGAACCGCAUGGUUCAAUAGUGAAAGGCGGCUUUGCUGUCACUUAUAGAUGGAUCCGCGCCGUAUUAGCUAGUUGGUAAGGUAACGGCUUACCAAGGCAACGAUACGUAGCCGACCUGAGAGGGUGAUCGGCCACACUGGAACUGAGACACGGUCCAGACUCCUACGGGAGGCAGCAGUAGGGAAUCUUCCGCAAUGGGCGAAAGCCUGACGGAGCAACGCCGCGUGAGUGAUGAAGGUCUUCGGAUCGUAAAACUCUGUUAUCAGGGAAGAACAAAUGUGUAAGUAACUGUGCACAUCUUGACGGUACCUGAUCAGAAAGCCACGGCUAACUACGUG